rnacentral:lncRNA from 1 species
GCCCAGGGCAGGAAGAGGGUGACCUAGAAUUCUGCACCGGGCGUGGAAACAACUUGAAAAGGAUCGCCUAUCCUGGGACCUUUGGACUUCCAUAUGAAUUUGAAGGUCAGCUUAUCAAGAUUUGGAAAGACAGCUCAGAAAUGAUGUCAUACAACAACCCUGUGCCACAAAAAGGAAGGCGCGAAGCUGUGCGUGUCAUGGUGUACUUGUGAAAGUCCGAGGACUUGGAUCUGUCUUCUUUUACCAUGUGGGUCCUUCUUCUUCCAUGUAGAGAUCAAAGUCAGGUCAUCAAGCUUAGAAGCUCCCAGCCACAUCCUAACUCUGCCUAGCUGGACUCUGUAAUGAGCUCUCUACACGAUGCCUUAGAGAACGGGGCCCAGGGAACAAGUAAGGUUGCCAAGUUCACUU